UAUCACCGAAGCUGUGGAUGACGUUGUCAUGGUAGGGGAGCGUUCUAAGGGCAUUGAAGUCAGACCGGGAGGUCUGUUGGAGCGCUUAGAAGUGAGAAUGCCGGUAUGAGUAGCGAAUAGAAGGGUGAGAAUCCCUUCCGUCGAAAGCCUAAGGGUUCCUGAGGAAGGUUCGUCCGCUCAGGGUUAGUCGGGGCCUAAGCUGAGGCCGCAAGGCGUAGGCGAUGGACAACAGGUUGAAAUUCCUGUACCACCUGCCGCCGUCCGAGUGACGGGGUGACGCAGGAAGGCAAGGCCAGCGCACGGAUGGAAGCGUGCGUUCAAGCCGUAAGGCUGAUGGUGAGGCAAAUCCCGCCAUCUGAUAGCUGAGCGGUGAUGAGGAGGGAACUUAAGUACCGAAGGGCCUGUGCUUACACUGCCAAGAAAAGCCUCUAGCGAGGCGGCCGGUGCCCGUACCCAGAACCAACACAGGUAGGCGAGGAGAGCAUCCUAAGACGCUCGGGAGAACUCUCGUUAAGGAACUCGGCAAAAUGACCCCGUAACUUUGGGAGAAGGGGUGCUCGUCCGGGUGAUGAGCCUGGAUGAGCCGCAGUGAAAAGAUCCAAGCGACUGUUUACCAAAAACACAGGUCUCUGCCAAACCGAAAGGUGACGUAUAGGGGCUGACACCUGCCCGGUGCUGGAAGGUUAAGAGGAGCUGUUAUCCCUUCGGGAGAAGCAGCGAAUCGAAGCCCCAGUAAACGGCGGCCGUAACUAUAACGGUCCUAAGGUAGCGAAAUUCCUUGUCGGGUAAGUUCCGACCCGCACGAAAGGUGCAACGACUUGGAUACUGUCUCAACGAGAGACCCGGUGAAAUUAUAGUACCUGUGAAGAUGCAGGUUACCCGCGACAGGACGGAAAGACCCCAUGGAGCUUUACUGUAGCUUGAUAUUGGGUAUCGGUAUCGUUUGUACAGGAUAGGUAGGAGCCAGAGAAACCGGAGCGCCAGCUUCGGUGGAGGCACUGGUGGGAUACUACCCUGACGAUUCGGAUAUCCUAACCUAGAACCGUGAUCCGGUUCGGAGACAGUGUCAGGUGGGCAGUUUGACUGGGGCGGUCGCCUCCUAAAAGGUAACGGAGGCGCCCAAAGGUUCCCUCAGAAUGGUUGGAAAUCAUUCGCAGAGUGCAAAGGCAUAAGGGAGCUUGACUGCGAGACCUACAAGUCGAGCAGGGACGAAAGUCGGGCUUAGUGAUCCGGUGGCACCGCAUGGAAGGGCCAUCGCUCAACGGAUAAAAGCUACCCUGGGGAUAACAGGCUUAUCUCCCCCAAGAGUCCACAUCGACGGGGAGGUUUGGCACCUCGAUGUCGGCUUAUCGCAUCCUGGGGCUGAAGUUGGUCCCAAGGGUUGGGCUGUUCGCCCAUUAAAGCGGUACACGAGCUGGGUUCAGAACGUCGUGAGACAGUUCGGUCCCUAUCCGUCGCGGGCGCAGGAAAUCUGAGAGGCGCUGUCCUUAGUACGAGAGGACCGGGAUGGACACACCGCUGGUGUACCAGUUGUUCCGCCAGGAGCACAGCUGGGUAGCUAAGUGUGGCCGGGAUAAGUGCUGAAAGCAUCUAAGCAUGAAGCCCCCCUCAAGAUGAGAUUUCCCAUGGCGUGAGGCCAGUAAGACCCCUUAGAGAUGAUGAGGUUGAUAGGUCCGGUGUGGACGCGUGGUGACACGUGAAGCUGACGGAUACUAAUCGGUCGAGGGCUUAUCC
rnacentral:rRNA from 1 species